AUAACCAUUUUCAAUUAUUUUGGGUACAUAACCAGAAGUGGAACUUCUAGAUAAUAUGGUAAAUCUUUUUCAAUUUUUUGAGGAACUGUCGUAGUGUUUUCUGCAGUAGCUGAACCAUUUAAAAUUCCCACCAAUGGGAGAACCAUCCCAGCAACCCCACCACGGCUGGUCUUCCCUGGACAGCAUGAACCACACUGUCCAAACCUUCACUGCCGCCAACACCGACCGUCGGCCCAACUAUGAGAUGUUGAAGGAGGAGCAUGAGGCGGAUGUGCUGGGGGCGCCCCACAACCCUGCUCCCCCGACAUCCACCAUGAUCCACAUCUGCAGCAAGAUCUCUGUGCCCGACCACGUUGUCUGGUCCCUGUUCAACACCCUCUUCGUGAACUCCUGCUGCCUGGGCUUUAUAGCAUUCACCUACUCCAUGAAGUCUAGGGACAGGAAGAUGGUUGGUGACUUGACCCGGGCCCAGGCCUACGCCUCCACCGCCAAGUGCCUGAACAUCUGGGCCCUGAUCGUGGGCAUCAUCAUGACCAUUCUGCUGAUCAUCAUCCCAGUACUGAUUUUGCAAGCCUAUCAGUAGAUCAAGACAAAUCAUCCAGGCCAGGGCCUCUGCCCGUGACCUGUCUCCCACGUACCCUACCUUGCAUUCCUCGCCCUGCCCCCGAGCCAAGACCGGUAUCAGCCCUUUAUCCUCACACACUUUUCUACAGUGGCAUUCAGUAAAGUACACGUGUUCCUGGU